UACGGAGGGGGCAAGCGUUAUUCGGAAUUAUUGGGCGUAAAGGGCGCGUAGGCGGCUAGAUGUGUCAAAGGUGAAAUCCCUCGGCUCAACUGAGGAACUGCCUUUGAAACUGUCUGGCUUGAGGCCGGGAGAGGGUAGCGGAAUUCCCAGUGUAGCGGUGAAAUGCGUAGAUAUUGGGAGGAACACCAGUGGCGAAGGCGGCUACCUGGGACGGUACUGACGCUGAGGCGCGAAAGCGUGGGGAGCAAACAGG
rnacentral:rRNA from 1 species